rnacentral:rRNA from 1 species
AUACGUAGGGGGCAAGCGUUGUCCGGAAUUACUGGGCGUAAAGGGUGCGUAGGCGGUUUGGUAAGUUAGAUGUGAAAUCCCCGGGCUUAACUCGGGAGUUGCAUUUAAAACUGCUGAACUAGAGUGCAGGAGAGGAAAGCGGAAUUCCUAGUGUAGCGGUGAAAUGCGUAGAUAUUAGGAGGAACACCAGUGGCGAAGGCGGCUUUCUGGACUGUAACUGACGCUGAGGCACGAAAGCGUGGGGAGC